rnacentral:rRNA from 1 species
AGAGGGCAUCAGAGGGGACGUGGAAUUCCCCGACUAGGCGGUGAAAUGCCGCAGAUAUCGGGAGGAACACCGAUGGCGAAGGCAGCUCCCUGGGAUGCACCUGACGCUAAGAGGCGAAAGCUAGGGGACCGCAACAGGAUUAGAGACCCUGGUAGUCCUACCUGUAAACGCUGGGUGCUAGGUGUGGGACGUAGAAGUUCCGCGCCGGAGCAAACGCGAUAAGCAUCCCGCGCUGGGAAUUACGGUCGCAAGGCUAAGACUCAAACGAAUUGACGGGGCCCCGCACAAGCAGCGGAGCGUGUGGUUCAAUUCGACUGCUACACGAAGAGCCUUACCGGGGUCUGACAUGUACGUGGUACGAAGGCGAAAGCCUAAGGAUCAUUCAGGGAGCGUAUACAGGUGCUGCAUGGCUGUCGUCAGCUCGUGCCGUGAGGUGUCGGGAUAAGUCCCGUAACGUGCGCAACCCUUGCCCUUAGUGACAAGUGUCUAAGGGGACUGCCGACGGGAAGCCGGAGCAGCUCGGCGGAUGUGUCAAGUCAGCAUGGCCCUUAUGUCCAGGGCUACACACACGCUACAAUGGUCAGUACAAAGGGUAGCGAAGUAGCGAGGCGGAGCGAAUCUCAACAAAGCUGAUCGUAGUUCGGAGUGCAG